AUUUCCCUCUAGGGAAUAUUGAGGAGAUGAAAAAGAUCAGUAGAAGUAGUGUUGCUGCAGCUUCUGCUGGAUCUUUAGCAGUCUCCAAUGAUAUUCACUCUGCUGUUCCUUACUUUGCUCAAUGGCAGAAGGUUCAUGGGAAGGUGUUCAUUUACUGGUUAGGUACAGAGCCAUUUUUAUACAUAGCAGACCCGGAGUUCCUUAAAAGGAUGUCUACAGGCGUCAUGGGCAAAAGCUGGGGAAAGCCCAAUGUGUUUAAACAUGACAGGAAACCAAUGUUCGGUAAUGGUUUGGUUAUGGUUGAAGGUGAUGACGGGGUUCGUCCCCGCCAUAUUAUCACUCCUGCACUCCCAGNCUCACCGGCCAGCGUGAAGGCUAUGGCAAGCUUAAUGGUGGAGUCCACCACUAAGAUGCUGGA
rnacentral:misc_RNA from 1 species